ensembl:snoRNA small nucleolar RNA SNORA26
GUGCCCUUUUAAGGUUGUCGCAGUACUUUAAGAGGCUAAUCCAGAAGGAUAAAAGAACUCUCCAUGGGCUUUAACCCAUGGAGGGGACUGUACAUCUCCUCCUUGGAUCCUGUCUGGAGUCACAGAU